GCGAGUAACUUCAAAUGAAAAUCAACUUGAAAUAAAGUAAAUGUUGAGGAAUGACUUCCUUAAAUGCGCGGCACCUCCAUCUCCCAUCAAUCACUGUUUGCUUCUACUUUUCCUCCAGCAAAGAUGAAAGGUCUGUGUGCUUCCAGCAGCUACAUCUUUUAAAGAAAAACAAAAUAAUAUGCAAUGCCACCGUCACCUCCUCAUAUGCAAAUGGAAGCAACACCUCGUUUUUUGGAAGCAAGGAAUUGAAUGAGAUUUGAUAAAAAAAAAUAAAAUAAAAUUCUAGCAGUAGCGUGAAUCAACAUCCUAAAUCAAUAAAUCAUUGUUUGCACCCCAUUCAUCAUUUCUUCAUUCUAAACUAAAGGGAAAGUGUGCUUCUUUAGAGAAAACGAAAUUUAUUUCUACCCCAAACUAAAUUGAUAGCAGCGCUCUUUUCUAAGAAAAUCAAUCCAAGUCUUCAUUCAAAAGAAACAAAAGAAAGAGUGUCCUUCUCCAAAUGUAACAACGUUCUCUUUGGGCCAAAAACAAAAAAAAACCGAGAACUCCCUUGCUUUAAGAUGAAUUUCCUAAUGAAAAAAAAAAACUGCACCAAUUUUAGGCAAUGGAAAUUGAAGAAAACGUGUUGCACCUUCCGUUCAAGCCCUUGUUUCCAUUAAAUAUUCAAAAGCGAAAACCAAAAAAAAAAGAAAAUGUAAAAUGACCUGCUGCAGCUAUCUUUUUAAAAGAAAAUAAAAGAUGCUUAUCAAAAUCCAAAUCCCGUAACAAUGCUGAAGUGCUAACCAACCUCACUGAGACACCACCAUCCUUCAAAUUCAAUCUCUGCUUCAUUAUUCAAAAGAAAGGAAAUUAUGCUUGCUGGAAUAAUAAAACUGCAAUGCAAGAUGCUGAAUCCUUUUUCAUUACUAGCGUAAAACAUUCCAAGC
rnacentral:lncRNA from 1 species